GACGAACGCUGGCGGCGUGCUUAACACAUGCAAGUCGAACGGAAAGGCCCUGCUUUUGUGGGGUGCUCGAGUGGCGAACGGGUGAGUAACACGUGAGUAACCUGCCCUUGACUUUGGGAUAACUUCAGGAAACUGGGGCUAAUACCGGAUAGGAGCUCCUGCUGCAUGGUGGGGGUUGGAAAGUUUCGGCGGUUGGGGAUGGACUCGCGGCUUAUCAGCUUGUUGGUGGGGUAGUGGCUUACCAAGGCUUUGACGGGUAGCCGGCCUGAGAGGGUGACCGGGCACAUUGGGACUGAGAGACGGCCCAGACUCCUACGGGAGGCAGCAGUGGGGAAUAUUGCACAAUGGGCGGAAGCCUGAUGCAGCAACGCGGCGUGCGGGAUGACGGCCUUCGUGUUGUAAACCGCUUUCGCCUGUGACGAAGCGUGGGUGACGGUAAUGGGUAAAGAAGCACCGGCUAACUACGUG
rnacentral:rRNA from 1 species